UGUUGGGGGCACUGGGUCGUGCUAUGGCGGUGCCGGGUAGUACCGUGGCUGGGGCACCGGGUUGUACUGCGGCAAUGGUGCCGGGUGGUACUGUGGAGGAGUAGGCUUGUGCCGGGGUGGCUCGGGAUCAGCCUGCUGUAAUGGAGGCUCAACCUGCGGUAGUGGAGGAGGGUCGGGUAACUCCCUUCUCUCCCCUCGCCCUUGCUGGGCAGCUAUGAAUCCUUCCAUCAUCUCAAAUAACCUGUCUACAUCCUCCCGAAGUGAAUUAUCCCGGGCCGUUCGGUUUAGUGGGGGUCUUCCUCUCCUCAUCUCUCUGCACCUGUAUUUCAUAAGGAAUGGUUGAGUAACGGUUUAUCGGUGAAUAUUUCUCUAAGCAUUAUUGUGUAAGGGAUGGGUCCGAGGAACGCGG
rnacentral:lncRNA from 1 species